rnacentral:lncRNA from 1 species
AUAAUCACGACCAUUAUCUGACCAGAUAGUGUGCACAACUGUGUUUUGAUCAUUUGCAAAAAAAUAAAAAUGUAAUAACCCGAUUUUAUGUUUUGGGGUUUAAUUGAAAGGAUUAUAAAUUUUGGGAUAAAAUUAAAUAAAAUAUAAAAGUUGAGGGACAAAAGUGUAAUUUAAUAGGCUUGAUGGGGGACAACUUUCGGCCGAAAGAUAAAAAGAUAAGAGAAAAAGAAAAAAAAAAGAAAGAAAGAAAAAAAAAAGUAAAAAGGUAAAGGAGAAAAAGAUAAAUAAAAUAAUAAAAUAAUAAUAUAUUUUUAUAUAUAUAUUGAUACAUAUAUAGAUAUAUAUAACGAGAGAAGGGGAGAGACCGUGAGAGAGAGAGCGCACGGAGAGGAAGAAAGAAAGAGAGAGAGAGAUAGCACAGAUGUGCAAGAAGAAAGGAAUGAGAAAUGAGAAAUGAGAAAAAUUAUAUAGUGUAGUUAAUCUUUGAUAAUGAAAGACAUGGGUGUACAUCAACGGUGAGAUGAUAUCGGAUCAAUGUGAAAUUUUUAGUAUGAUGAUCAUGAGAGCCAGAUUUUCAUAUCUAAUUGUGUCAAUUUGAGGUAAACAGGAUGUAUACAAUAUGCUUUCUAAACUCCGGAGUAGUAAGUUUUCUCAGAGUAGUUUUCUAAAAAUAUAGAUCUUGUUUUCUAUUCUUGAGUAUGUGUGCUAUAUGUUGAAAUUCAUGGUAUUUUAUUGGCUUCGUGUAUGUAUGAUGUUAUUAUUUGAUGGCUAAAUGAUGUAGAAUAGAUUGGUACAUGUACUGAGUGGAUCCGCCAAUAGUGUCACUAAGGACCGGAAAAGCCAGAAGAGCUUGGAGACGUGGAUGAGGCCGGUCACUAGUAAUUUAUCAGGAAAGACCGAGUAUGAGAUCCUUCAUGAUUUGAUGAUUCAUUGAGAUAUUUUAAAUUUGUUGUUGAGCCAUUAUUGAUUCAUUGAGCAUAUUCCUGUCAUAUUGUAUACUUCCCUGUUUAAAAUAAUUUUUCAAGUAGAGGUAGGAUCUCGGGUAGUACGAGAUCCAUGUUUAAAAUAAUUUUUCAGGUGGAGGUAGGAUCUUCAUAUCGCCCGACUAUCUCGUACUACCCGAGAUAGUCGGGCGAAUGAUAUGAAAAUUUAUAUUUUUGAUCUUUUUGUAUUAAACAUUUGGAGACAUUAUAAAAAUAAAUAUUUGGAGACUAUUGAAUAUUUGAGAAAAAUAGUGCUCUGAAUUGUAUUUGAGAAAAAUAAGGCAAAAAAAUAGAUUAAUUAACAGCCCGGGAGGGUCGGGUCAUCACAAAUGGUAUCAGAGCUUGGGCUUUAGGUCUUACAUGAGAUCGUGUGGAAGGUUUAGGUGUUAGAUCUUACAUGUGACUGGUGUGGAAGGUUUUGGUAGUAGAGUAGAUCUACUAAAUAUCGUACAUGGGAUUGUGUGAGAGAUACAAAAUUUGGUAUUAGAGUGCGCAGUGAAAGUGUAAGUUUUGAUAUUGACACAAAAUAGGAUUUUUUAAAUUUCGAGGACGAAAUCGUAAGAGGGGAAGAUUGUAAUAACCGAUUUAUAUUUUGGGGUUUAUUGAAAGAAUAUAAAUUUUGGGGAUAAAAUUAAAAAAGAUAUAAAAGUUAAGGAAUAAAAGUGUAAUUUGAUAGCUUGGUGGGACAAACUUUCGGACCAAAAGAUAGAAGAUAAGAGAAAAAGAAAAAAAAAAGUAAAAAGGUAAAGGAGAAAAAGAUAAAUACAUAAUAAAAAUAAUAAAAUAUUUUAUUAUAGAUUGAUAAUAUAUAGAUAUAAUAACGAGAGAAGGGAGAGACCGUGAGAGAGAGCGCACGGAGAGAAGAAAAAAAGAGAGAGAGGGAUGCACAAUGUGCAGGAAGAAAGAAGAAGAAGGAGAGAAAAAUUAUAGAAGUACUUAGUUUUGAAUAUGAAAGACUGGGGUAGAUCAACGGUAGAUGAAUCAGAUCAAUGUGGAAUUUUUUAGUAUGAUGAUCAUGGGAGCCCAGAUUUAUACUAUGUGUCAAAUUGAGGUAAACCGGAUGUAUACAAUAUGCGUUCUAAACUCCGGAGUAGUUUUCUAAAAUAUCAGCUCUUGUAUUCUUCUGAGUAGUGUGCUAUCUGUGAAAUCAUAGCUAUGUUAUGGCAUCGUGAUAUGUUGAAUUAUUGUUUAUGGCUAAAUGUUGUGGAAUAGAUUGGUACAUGUAUGAGUGACCCGCCAAUAGUGCCCACUAAGGACAGAAAAAACAGAAGAGCUUGGAGACGUGGAUGAGGCAGUCACUAAUUAAAUGUUCAGGAAAGACCGAGUAUGAGACCUUCUGAUUUGAUGAUUCAGUGAGAUCUUUUAAAUUUGUUGUUGAGUCCUUAUGAUUCGUUGAGCAUAUCCUGUCGUUAUGUAUAACUUCCCUGCUUUAAAAUAAUUUUCAGGUGGAGGUAGGAUCUCGGGUAGUACGAGAUGAGUCCGGCGAUGAUAUGAAGAUUUUAUAUUUUUAAUCUUUU